rnacentral:rRNA from 1 species
AGUGGAUGGGGAGCAACCUAGUUGUGCGUGUGUAAAGGUAGUGCCAAGAAAAGCGGUGAUCAUGAUGAAAAUCAAUUCCCGGUACCCGAAACCGACACAGGUGGGCAAGUAGAGAAUACUAAGGGGCGCGAGGUAACUCUCUCCAAGGAACUCGGCAAAAUGACCCCGUAACUUAGGGAGAAGGGGUGCCACCGAGAGGUGGUCGCAGUGAAGAGGCCCAGGCGACUGUUUAGCAAAAACAUAGGUCUCUGCAAACUCGAAAGAGGAGGUAUAGGGGCUGACGCCUGCCCAGUGCCGGAAGGUUAAAGAAGUUGGUCAGUCUUAGGAUAAAGCUAGCGACUGAAGCCCCGGUGAACGGCGGCCGUAACUAUAACGGUCCUAAGGUAGCGAAAUUCCUUGUCGGGUAAGUUCCGACCCGCACGAAAGGCGUAACGAUCUGGGCGCUGUCUCGGAGAGAGGCUCGGCGAAAUAGGAUUGUCUGUGAAGAUACGGACUACCUGCAUUUGGACAGAAAGACCCUAUGAAGCUUUACUAUAGCUUGGAAUUGUGUUCGGGCUUCCUGUGCGCAGGAUAGGUGGGAGGCGUAGAAGGUAUUCUUGUGGGGAUACUGGAGCCAACGGUGAGAUACCACUCUCAGGAGGCUAGAAUUCUAACUUAAUUAAGGACAGUUUCAGGUGGGUAGUUUGACUGGGGCGGUCGCCUCCAAAAAGGUAACGGAGGCGUACAAAGGUUCCCUCAGACUGGUUGGAAAUCAGUCGCAGAGUGCAAAGGCAGAAGGGAGCUUGACUGCGAGAAGUACAGUUCGAGCAGGGUGGAAACACGGUCUUAGUGAUCCGACGGUGCUGUGUGGAAGGGCCGUCGCUCAACGGAUAAAAGUUACUCUAGGAUAACAGGCUGAUCUCCCCCAAGAGUUCACAUCGACGGGGAGGUUUGGCACCUCGAUGUCGGCUCAUCGCAACCUGGGGCGGAAGUACGUCCCAAGGGUUGGGCUGUUCGCCCAUUAAAGCGGUACGUGAGCUGGGUUCAGAACGUCGUGAGACAGUUCGGUCCAUAUCCGAUGUAGGCGUGAGAAUAUUGAGAGGAGCCUUCCUUAGUACGAGAGGACCGGGAAGGACGCACCGCUGGUGUACCUGUUAUGAUGCCAAUUGUAAACGCAGGGUAGCCAAGUGCGGAGAGGAUAACCGCUGAAAGCAUCUAAGUGGGAAGCCCACCUCAAGAUGAGUAUUCUGGUGUAAGGUCACGGGAAGACGACCCGUAAAUAGGCACGAGGUGGAAGUGCAGAGAUGUAUGAAGCCGAAGUGUACUAAUAGACCGUCGGCUUGACC